GAUGAACGCUGGCGGCGUGCUUAACACAUGCAAGUCGAACGAACCUUCGGGUUAGUGGCGGACGGGUGAGUAACGCGUGAGAAUCUGCCCUCAGGAGGGGGAUAACGGCUGGAAACGGCCGCUAAUACCCCAUAUGCCGCGAGGUGAAAUGAAUUUCGCCUGAGGAUGAGCUCGCGUCUGAUUAGCUAGUUGGUGGGGUAAGAGCCUACCAAGGCAUCGAUCAGUAGCUGGUCUGAGAGGAUGAUCAGCCACACUGGGACUGAGACACGGCCCAGACUCCUACGGGAGGCAGCAGUGGGGAAUUUUCCGCAAUGGGCGAAAGCCUGACGGAGCAACGCCGCGUGAGGGAUGAAGGCCUCUGGGCUGUAAACCUCUUUUAUCAAGGAAGAAGAUCUGACGGU
rnacentral:rRNA from 1 species